UCCGGUUUGUCACCGGCAGUCUCACUAGAGUGCCCAACUUAAUGUGGCAACUAAUGACAAGGGUUGCGCUCGUUGCGGGACUUAACCCAACAUCUCACGACACGAGCUGACGACAGCCAUGCAGCACCUAGUUUCGCGCCCUUGCGGGAAAAAUCCUUUCAGAUCCGAUCGCUAACUUUCAAGCCCAGGUAAGGUUCCUCGCGUAUCAUCGAAUUAAACCACAUGCUCCUCCGCUUGUGCGGGCCCCCGUCAAUUCCUUUGAGUUUCACCCUUGCGGGCGUACUCCCCAGGUGGAAUACUUAUCGCUUUCGCUUGGACGCUUGCUGUGUAUCGCAAACAUCGAGUAUUCAUCGUUUACGGUGCGGACUAC
rnacentral:misc_RNA from 1 species